CAGCUCUCAAUUUUAGUAAAUAAAAUCCUGUCAAUGUGGCAGAGCACUGUCGCAAUGUAUGGCCAAAUGCCAUGAAAUCUGUUAACACAUUGCAAGCUUGUCAGGUGUCUCCAGAAGGGGUCAGCAGAGAUCCGGUUCAGUACAGUGCUACAGGUACCCAAAUUUGGGACUGUUUUGCUGAAUUUGGGAACAUUGAGAUUUAUGAAAUUUGGGAAAGCAGGAAACAUUUUAAAUUUUCAACAUUUUAUAAAUACACAAAGACAAAUAAUGUCCUUGUUUACCUAUCCUUUCUUUAUCAAUUGGUCCAUUACCUCUGAGUCAUUAUAUUGUGAGAAUUUGAAUGUUUAUUGCUCU